rnacentral:misc_RNA from 1 species
CUGAAACUAAGAAGUUCUGACU